rnacentral:lncRNA from 1 species
UUGGAAGUAAUGUAAGAAUACUCCACAUUAUUCUCAUUUGUGGUUUCUAUGUGGUACCCAUUCAAGCGUAUAUCCUUAAAACUCAACAAAUUCUUUCUAGAUCUGGAAGAGUACUAUGUCUCUUGAAUGAAUAAUUGGGUACCAUUUGAUAACCAAAUAUGAGCUCUUCUAGAGUCUUCAAUUAGGCCUAUAGGACCUGAAAUGAUUGUCACUUUUGCUCUUGUCAAAUUUAAAGUGGAGAAAUAUUUUCGAUCUCUAAGGAUCGUGUGUUGUCGCACUAUUUGCAAAGCAUAUUUCUUCUCCAUUUUGAGAGCAUCCAUUUUUCAUAUUUAUACUGACACGACCCACCCCGAAUUUCACCCUGAAACCCGGAGUAAGUCGUGCGGGGACCACCUCCAAGGAAAAUUUACUGAAAAGAUUGAGAAAAUCUCCCUUGCAGAUGGACAACCCUAACUCGAAAAUUCCAAAUUUCACUCUUAAUUCAACACUUCCAAACAUCACAUAAUUAUCCUUCAGAAAUUCUACACAUAAUAUACAAUAAUCCCAAAGUAUUCAGAGCUACUAAACACAAGCGGAAGCAAGAAAACACGAGUAGGUUGAACAGGUAACCUACUGAUGAAAACUGGCAGAAAUGCGGGUGACUAUGCCUCGCCUCCUACUAGAUCCAACCCGAACUCUGCAGACUGGGCAAUUUAAAACGAAAGGCCCAGGGGAAAACAUUUAAUAACGUUAGAGUGAGUGGACAAAAAUAAAAUAAAGGAGAUAAUUCUUUAUGCUUUCCCCAAUUUUUACUUUUCCAUAGAAAAGAAAAUAUGCUGCAUGCGACAGCUCAAAACGCUCAACACGAAAACUGGAAUUUCAUGACUGGCACCGGCCAGUCUCCAACGCUCAAUAAAAUACAGCUUCUCAGGCUAAAAUAAAAUAUGUAUGUAUUACACUCGUCAUAUCCCUUGUAUGAAUUUUCUUGAAACAACUAAAACAAAUAGUAAAUUCACACAAGGCUACAACGCUUGCGUCUAACGCUCACGUUGCACCAUAAUGGCAUUUUACCUCAUUAUGGUGGAAAAGACGGUGUAUAAAUAUACGCGCAUAUCCCCUAUAUAAAUUAUUAUUUUUAUACAGGGCUACAACGAUUGNNNN